rnacentral:rRNA from 1 species
AUGAAAGUUGCUCAUAACAACGAGACGAAUUUGAAUAUGCGGUCCGUUCAUCUGUCACAUGUCCCUAGCAUAGCGAACACGCAACUUUCCCCCUUUAGUUCAUCUGUCCGAAAACGAGAAACACCGGGGAUACUUUCCCGAAUGUUUCCCCCCUUCGCCGGUAUCACCUCCUACCGCGUUAGGUCACUCCCGGCGCAUCUUAUAGCCAUGUUAUACUUUGUGGUGCUAAGUUUGCUUUAUAUUUACUGUUUCUUCCCCCUCUUCUCUCCGGUAGACCCCGAGACCGAUGUUGCCCUUAUGAUCGACUACGUUGACGACGACCCCCCUCCUUGCCAGAGCAACCAGGCAAGCAAACCCUCCUUGAGCAUUCCGAUAUCGCCCAUUUCUUUCCCUCUCAUGCUUGCAUUAGAACUGCUACCGCUUUCUGUAUGA